AAGUGGGCGGGGCCUAAAAAGUAUAUCAUUUUAGAUCCCUUUCCAAAUCCCCCCCCCCCAAACCACUGUUGAGUAUGAGAUAGUGACUAAAAAUAUAAAGACUCAUCCUUUUGGAUGAGUUAUUUCAAUGAGUUGAAUACAAAUGAUUCUUCGAGUAGCAAGGAGAGGGCAAGUCUGGUGCCAGCAGCCGCGGUAAUUCCAGCUCUCCUAGUGUAUCUCGUUAUUGCUGCGGUUAAAAAGCUCGUAGUUGGAUCUAGGUUACGUGCUGCAGUUCGCAAAUUGCGUCAACUGUAGUCGUGACUUCUAAUUUGCUGGUUUGAGGUUGGGUUCGCCCUUCAACUGCCAGCAGUUUAACUUGAAUAAAUCAGAGUGCUCAAUACAAGCGUUGCUUGAUACUCACAUGAAAUA
rnacentral:ncRNA from 1 species